GGCCUGAUGGUCUAGAGGUAUGAUUCUCUCUUAGGGUCGUCCGACAAUUUGGGAGAGGUCCCGGGUUCAAUCCCCGGUUAGGCCC